rnacentral:rRNA from 1 species
AACGAACGCUGGCGGCAUGCCUAACACAUGCAAGUCGAACGAGACCUUCGGGUCUAGUUGCGCACGGGUGCGUAACGCGUGGGAACCUGCCCUUAGGUUCGGUAUAACUCCCCGAAAGGGGUGCUAAUACCGGAUAAUGUCUUCGGACCAAAGAUUUAUUGCCUUUGGAUGGGCCCGCGUUGGAUUAGCCAGUUGGUAGGGUAAAAGCCUGCCAAGGCGACGAUCCAUAGCUGGUCUGAGAGGAUGAUCAGCCACACUGGGACUGAGACACGGCCCAGACUCCUACGGGAGGCAGCAGUGGAGAAUAUUGGACGAUGGGCGAAAGCCUGAUCCAGCAAUGCCGCGUGAGUGAUGAAGGCCUUAGGGUUGUAAAGCUCUUUUACCCGGGAUGAUAAUGACAGUACCGGGAGAAUAAGCUCCGGCUAACUCCGUG